rnacentral:lncRNA from 1 species
GCCGGAGCUCAGCUUGGGUACUUGCUCUGGAUGCUGAAGGUACAGAGCUAGAACUGCCCAAAGUGAUGGUGGAUUUCCUCCUCCUCUGCCUCACCUCUGCACAUUCAGUACUCCAAAUACCAUUCAAGUCCCUCCCUUCUACAUUUGCAGGAUGAGCAGGGUUUUCCUGAAGUUCUGGGACCUUUCUGUGGCAGUAACCCAUGAAACUUCCUGGAUUUGUCUCCUUUGCAGUCUCCACAAGAAGUC